AAGAGCUCCAGAAACUCAUUGGACAUCCGAGUCUCCUCCUGCUGACUGCAGAGCUUCAUGACUGACACCUCUCUGAUUCCAGCUGUGAACAUCAGACCAAACACAACUCACUAAACGUUUCCAUACUGAACAACCACAGCUUUCCCCUCUGUGAACAUGGAGAAACUGGCUGCAAUUCUGCUCUGUUCAGCUCUCAUAGGUAACAGCUUGGAAGAUGCUAUUACUGCCAGCAGUGCUGAAGUGUGUUCCUCAGAGGGCCGUAGUGUUACUCUGUCCUGUACAUAUUCAGUUAAAGCUGAUAAUCUCCAGUGGUACAGACAGGAUCCUGGAUCAGCUCCUCAGUUCCUCCUCCUGAUCACUGACUCAAAUCCGCCUCACGUGGUGGAAGCAAAACCUCCAAUCCCUCGACUGACAGCCACACUGAACCAGGAGAAAAAACAAGUGGAUCUGCAGAUCUCCUCUGCUGCAGUGACAGACUCUGCUGUGUACUACUGUGCUCUGAGGCCCACAGUGACAGGAAACACCAACACUCUGUACAAAAACCUCUGGAGCAAAGACAACACAAUACUGAUCAACAUCCACCAGAGGGAGCCUCUCUCUGUCAGACUUUAGGGAAACAACACAACUAAUGUUCAAACAACUCAACCCCCAGCA